rnacentral:rRNA from 1 species
AGAGUUUGAUCAUGCUCAGAACAAACGCUGGCGGCGUGCCUAACACAUGCAAGUCGUACGAGAAGUCCGCUUCGGUUGAUGAGAAAAGUGGCGCACGGGUGAGUAACGCGUGGAUAAUCUACCCUUUAGUCUGGAAUAACUUAUCGAAAGGUGAACUAAUACCGGGAUAAUAUCCCCGAUUUCUUCGGCGAUCGGGAUCAAAGAAGGCCUCUGCUUGCAAGCUUUCACUGAAGGAUGAGUCCGCGUACCAUUAGCUAGUUGGCAGGGUAAUGGCCUACCAAGGUUAUGAUGGUUAGCUGGUCUGAGAGGAUGAUCAGCCACACUGGAACUGAAACACGGUCCAGACUCCUACGGGAGGCAGCAGUGAGGAAUAUUGCGCAAUGGGGGCAACCCUGACGCAGCAACGCCGCGUGAGUGAGGAAGGUUUUCGGAUUGUAAAGCUCUGUCGAGCGGAAAGAAGUGCAUGGUGGUUAAUAUCCAUCAUGCUUGACGGUACCGCUAAAGGAAGCACCGGCUAACUCCGUGCCAGCAGCCGCGGUAAUACGGGGGGUGCAAGCGUUGUUCGGAAUCAUUGGGCGUAAAGCGCGUGUAGGCGGCUGGACAAGUCAGAUGUGAAAGCCCUGGGCUUAACCCAGGAAGUGCAUUUGAAACUGUUCAGCUAGAGUAAGGGAGAGGAAAGUGGAAUUCCUGGUGUAGAGGUGAAAUUCGUAGAUAUCAGGAGGAACACCGGUGGCGAAGGCGACUUUCUGGCCCUAUACUGACGCUGAGACGCGAAAGCGUGGGUAGCAAACAGGAUUAGAUACCCUGGUAGUCCACGCUGUAAACGAUGUUCACUAGGUGUUGGGGGUAUUGACCCUUCCAGUGCCGCAGCUAACGCAUUAAGUGAACCGCCUGGGGAGUACGGUCGCAAGAUUAAAACUCAAAGGAAUUGACGG